rnacentral:rRNA from 1 species
AGAGUUUGAUCCUGGCUCAGAUUGAACGCUGGCGGCAUGCCUUACACAUGCAAGUCGAACGGCAGCACGGGAGUAAUCCUGGUGGCGAGUGGCGAACGGGUGAGUAAUAUAUCGGAACGUGCCCAGUCGUGGGGGAUAACGCAGCGAAAGCUGUGCUAAUACCGCAUACGAUCUCUGGAUGAAAGCGGGGGACUCAGUAAUGGGCCUCGCGCGAUUGGAGCGGCCGAUAUCAGAUUAGCUAGUUGGUGGGGUAAAAGCCCACCAAGGCGACGAUCUGUAGCUGGUCUGAGAGGACGACCAGCCACACUGGAACUGAGACACGGUCCAGACUCCUACGGGAGGCAGCAGUGGGGAAUUUUGGACAAUGGGCGAAAGCCUGAUCCAGCAAUGCCGCGUGCAGGAUGAAGGCCUUCGGGUUGUAAACUGCUUUUGUACGGAGCGAAACGGUCCACUUUAAUACGGUGGGCUAAUGACGGUACCGUAAGAAUAAGCACCGGCUAACUACGUGCCAGCAGCCGCGGUAAUACGUAGGGUGCGAGCGUUAAUCGGAAUUACUGGGCGUAAA